rnacentral:pre_miRNA from 12 species
GUGGUUGCUCAAUAGGAGACCUGCAGGUAGAGGGGCUAAGUCCAACUGCAGAGGAGUUGUGGAAGUGGAAACACC